rnacentral:rRNA from 1 species
UGGGGAAUAUUGGGGCAAUGGGGCGAAAGCCUGACCCAGCAACGCCGCGUGAAGGAAGAAGGCCCUCGGGUUGUAAACUUCUUUUACCAGGGACGAAGGACGUGACGGUACCUGGAGAACAAGCCACGGCUAACUACGUGCCAGCAGCCGCGGUAAUACGUAGGUGGCGAGCGUUGUCCGGAUUUACUGGGUGUAGAGGGCGUGUAGGCGGGACUGCAAGUCAGAUGUGAAAUACGGAGGCUUAACCUCCGAGCUGCAUUUGAAACUGCAAUUCUUGAGUGAUGGAGAGGUAAGCGGAAUUCCCAGUGUAGCGGUAAAAUGCGUAGAUAUUGGGAGGAACACCAGUGGCGAAGGCGGCUUACUGGACAUUAACUGACGCUGAGGCGCGAAAGUGUGGGGAGCAAACAGGAUUAGAUACCCUGGUAGU